GACAGCUCAGCCAGCAGAGCAUGAGAUUCUUCAUCUCAGGAUUGUGGGUUCAAGCCACACCUUAGGCA